rnacentral:lncRNA from 1 species
GAAGGAAUGGGAAAAUGUGGAAUAUUCAUUUGGCAGAUGGACAGGUCCAUGGAGUCCACAGCACCGGAGCUCCAGAGCAGGGGCUCACUUCCACCCGCCUGGCCUUAAUCACAGUCACGAGUCGAGUCGCCCAGUUUGGCAGAGACAAUCAUUUGUUAUUUGAUUUGCACAUCAGCCGGAUGUGGACGCGGAUACCCAAGCAGCCGGACAGCCAGGACGAAUGCAGGCAGUCCGGCAGUCAGUCAGCCAGCUAGUCAGCCAGGAUGUCAGGGCAUGGAGAAGCCAGGGGCCCGCAGCAGCGGAUGAGUUGGAGAUCCUCGGCACAAACAUUGCAAUUUCCAGGCGCCACUCGAUGGCCGGACAUCGUUGAUUGUUGCUGCUGUCCAUUUUCGGCGACUCCAAUUUAAAGGCCGUGUCGCCUGGCCCGCAGAUACACACUCAGAUGCAGAUACCCGUGGCGUUGACGGAAUGGAUUGCAUCCAGUCGGCUGGAGAGGCACCAGAUGGCAUCGACGAGGUGCUGAUGAGCCGCAGCUAGAGUCAACUGAAGUCACAUUUGUACUGCACUUGUCAUCCAUCCAACCGAUUGGGUUCCUCAACAGAAAGUUCGUUGAAGUGCGAGUCUUUUAAAUGGUGUCUUUU